rnacentral:rRNA from 1 species
UCAUUGUGUAUUCAAUAAUGAUCCUUCCGUAGGUGAACCUGCGGAAGGAUCAUUAUUGAAUACACAAUGACUGUUGCUGGCUAGGUCAUUCUAGCAUGUGCACGUCUACACUCUCCACACCUGUGCACCAAUUGUAGAUAACCCUCGAAAGAGGAUUCUAUGUCUUUAAUAAUCUCAUCUAUUGUAUGUCCUUAGAAUGUAACAAAAAAAAUUAUACAACUUUCAGCAACGGAUCUCUUGGUUCUCGCAUCGAUGAAGAACGCAGCGAAUUGCGAUAAGUAAUGUGAAUUGCAGAUUUUCAGUGAAUCAUCGAAUCUUUGAACGCACCUUGCGCUCCUUGGUAUUCCGAGGAGCAUGCCUGUUUGAGUGUCAUUUAAUUAUCAACCAAAAGUCUUCAUUGGCUUUUGGCUUGGACUUGGGAUUUGCUGGCCUAGUCAGCUGUCCUUAAAAGCAUUAGCAAGUGAAGUAGACGUGCACGGCCUCUGACGUGAUAAUGAUCGUCGUGGGCUGGAAGCGUCAUAAUGAAGCUUGCUUAAAUUAAUCUCUAUUACCAUUUUGACCUCAAAUCAGGUAGGACUACCCGCUGAACUUAAGCAUAUCAAUAAGCGGAGGAAAAGAAACUAACAAGGAUUCCCCUAGUAACUGCGAGUGAAGAGGGAAAAGCUCAAAUUUUGAAUCUGGCAGUCGUUUUGGCUGUCCGAGUUGUAAUCUAGAGAAGUGUCUUCCGUGCUGGCCCGUGUACAAGUCUCCUGGAAGGGAGCGUCAUAGAGGGUGAGAAUCCCGUCUUUGACACGGACUACCAGUGCUAUGUGAUGCACUCUCGACGAGUCGAGUUGUUUGGGAAUGCAGCUCAAAAUGGGGUGGUAAAUUCCAUCUAAAGCUAAAUA